ACAUAGGUCCCCAGAGAAUUUCAAUAUGUCUGAUGUCAAGAACGGAAAGUGAGACAGCCAGGUGGGAGGGGGUCCCUGGAGAAUCUCCAACCAGCCUGCGCACUGGGAAUGCGCACUGGAGUGAAAAUACAGAAGUUGGUGCCCUUUGCAGCAGCCAGGAGUCCGACUCCUCCUCUUCCUGUGUGGAACCUGGAAUUCAAACGGCUGGGGCCUCACUCACGGCAUAUGGAACUAACCACGCCCCUAACUAAGAAGGCACACCUUAGUUGCAGUUAGCACACAAUUAAAGCAACUCUCCAAGUUUUACCUUAAAGUUCAAAAUUGCUAGGAGUUGAAACUACUAGAAAUAUAUUUACAUGCAAGAGUCAAAGAAACUUUGAACUAUUUAUGGCCUUUAAUAAUUAAGUAAGGUAUACUCCUGUGAUCAAGACUUGGAGCAUAUUUGUUUCUCUCUGCCUGGUUCCUCUAGAAAUUGGAAACUAUCAGAACAGAGACCAACUCCGUUUCCCGAUCCCUUUGCAAUCUGCAUUGAACCAUGAGUCAAGUUCUUGAUAAAGGAGUGAAAAUGGAUGACAUUUAAGGCACAUCUGAAGAUGGGGAAACCACAGCACAGAAUAAGGCUGGGCCCUUGAAUCAAUAAAUGAAGGAGAACUACUCAAGAGAACAAAACCACCAGCAAUAUCCACCUGUAUUUGUCUUUUCAUAAUGUGUGACACAUGUGCUCAUGGAUUAUUGUCCGAAGCAAGACAUGUGACCAAGCCUAACAUCAACUGGGUGAAGAGCUAUAUGUUCCUUUCUCAAGAGGCACUACAAGUGACAUGCCACUGGGCAGAUGGAGUCUCGCUCUGUCACCCAGGCUAGAGUGCAGUACCGCAAUCUCGGCUCGCUGCAAGCUCUGACUCCCAGGUUCACACCAUUCUCCUGCCUCAGCCUCCCAAGUAGCUGGCACUACAGGCGCCCACCACCAUGCCUGGCUAAUUUUUUAUAUUUUUAGUAGAGAAGGGGUUUCGCCGUGUUAGCCAGAAUGGUCUUGAUCUCCUGACCUCAUGAUCUGCCCACCUCGGCCUCCCAAAGUGCUGGGAUUACAGGCGUGAGCCACCGCGACUGGCCUAACAUAUUUUUAAAACCUGCAGAAUGUUUGUAUUACUUUUGUCAUAGUACAUAACAUUUAAAUGGAUUUCUUGUUUGUGUAUGUGUGUAUAUUCAUUCACAACACUGAUAGUUUUUCUGAAUAUUUCCUUUGGAUUUUAUUCUUUUCUCAUUCAACUAAAUAAGAACCUGCACCAUCUUUUUCUAGUGUAAAAAUUACAAUAUCUGAAGUGAAACUACUAGAAUAAAU
rnacentral:lncRNA from 1 species